rnacentral:lncRNA from 1 species
CUACAGGAGAGAGUCCCGGUAGUCUCAAUAUAACCCAUAAUACCAACCUCUCUCUACAGGAGAGAGUCCUGUCCGUGGCUCCGGUAGUGAAGAAAGCCUCCUACAUCAGACAUCAACAAGAAUCCGGGUGACCAAUCCGGAUCCGGAUCGUCACCUGACGACAGAGACCUUCAGUCAGACACUGGGUCCUGACGACAGAGAGGCCUUCAGUCAGACACUGGGUCCUGACGAGACAGAGAGGCCUUCAGUCAGACACUGGGUCCUGAGACAGAGAGGCCUCAGUCAGACACUGGGGAUGAACAUUAAAGUAGUGGAGGAGAGCUGGAGGACUUGA